GCCGAAGUGGCUCAGUUGGAAGAACGUUAGACUGAAGAUCUAAAGGUCCAUAUUCUGGUUCAGUCCCGGGUUUCUUCA
rnacentral:tRNA from 1 species